rnacentral:rRNA from 1 species
CGACGAUCAGUAGCUGGUCUGAGAGGACGACCAGCCACACUGGAACUGAGACACGGUCCAGACUCCUACGGGAGGCAGCAGUGGGGAAUUUUGGACAAUGGGCGCAAGCCUGAUCCAGCAAUGCCGCGUGAGUGAAGAAGGCCUUCGGGUUGUAAAGCUCUUUUGUCAGGGAAGAAACGGCUCCGGCUAAUAUCU